rnacentral:lncRNA from 1 species
CUGAAGACCCCUAAGGUCUUCUUCUUCACUUACACGCAACAGCAGCCAUACACGACCUUCAGCCACCCGAGUAGCAGCCAUCUUCAGCGAAAGAGGAAGGGACCUCCAUCAACGAAUAACAGCUACGCCAGACAGCCCUCCGCCAUCUUCUCCACAUCCCAACCAGACCUGAAUGACACCCGGCAGCUGAACCCAACAGCCAUUCCAGUCGCUACUGCGUCAUCUCCCAGUCUUCAUCUUCUCGAACACACCCCGUCCCCAUCAGUUCUGUUCCUUUUAUUCAACCACACGACCCCUUCACAAGUCGUCUUCUUCAACCAGUAACAGCUGAAGCUCUUCGUCUUCCUUGAACCAAAUGGGCGAACCCUAGAGACCAAGUAACACCAUUGACGACCAAAAAGACCUCCCGUUCUGCUUUCGUCUUCAAGUUCUAAACACAAGGCCCAAAACCGAUGGCUGCUUCUUAACAGAGACCUAGAACCCAAAGCUCGAUCCCAACCAUUUCCUUGGAGAUAUUGGAGCCUGCUUGUUCACUGAAACAAGAAGCUUCAUCCGCUAGGAGCUCGAUCUGAAACCAUUUCCUUAGCCGCUGAAUGACUCUUUAAGUUCGAGUCCGUAAGCAAAGAUCGGUUUCCCCGGCAACAUUUAAGGUCUGUUUAUGGUCGCCGGCGAGGUCCAGCUUGAGUUCUGGCAAGUUUGAGUGUGUCGUCGUUCAUUGGCUUCCGUCCGAGGUUCUGUUUCUUUCUUCGUAAGAUAUCUGCUGUUUUUUGUUUCCAUGUCAAAGUUUAUCAACCCAUGAAUGUUUUCAAUUGCAAUAAUGUGGUUGAAUUUAGCUUUAUUGAUUUUAUGAAACAUAUAGUUUGCCUUUGAAUUAUGAGCAUGUGGCACUAAUUUAUUGAUUAUUGAUUUUUGUUUUUCUGAAAGUUGAAUUUAAAAUCAGUGAAUACUAGUGUUACGCCUUGGUUUUUUUUUAAUUUGAAUUAAUAGAAGUGGGUUAAUAGUGGCAUGAUUGGUUAGUGGCUAUGGGUACUGUUCCCGUGGCAUGAUUACGAUAUGUGAAUCUCAAUUCGGGGGGUGCAUUUCAUGUAACCCGAUUAUAACAACUUCGAAUAAUAAAAUCCUUUGAAAUUAGAAAUCGAGGCAUGCCAGAUUUCCAUGGCCCUCGCAAAGUCGCAUAGCUUCUUAUCACAGAAAAUACCUUUGAUCCGUUCUCAUGAAGAGUUUUCAGAUAAAGAAUGACUAGACAGGUUUUUUGACCCGACCCUUAUUUGGAGAGAUUAAAACUAAGAGAAAAUGGGAAUGUGACCGAGCCCUGGUAUCUGAGCUGCCUACAUAUCCUUGACUGGCCAUCCGGAUUGGUAACUUGUCUGAGCCUUUUUCUUAUUUCAAGGUAUGACACUAACAGAAUAUGGAGUCUCGACCAGCGAGCACAUCCCCGAAGAUGAGAAGAGAAGGGUUUCGUAACAGUUUAUAUACAGUUCAGAUAAUAUCAAAGCGGUAAAAAGCAUCACCUACCACAUUAGGCCCAAACAUGUGAAUAAAAUCAGAUAAUAAAUAAAUCCACAUACAACAAUUAUUGUAAGCUCGAAUUCUGAACCCUGAACCAGAGAUUCUAGGUUCUUCUCCCCAGCAGAGUCUCCAGAGCUGUCACACCUCCUUUUUCACUACACCCCGGAAGGGUGUAUAUAAGGGAGUUUUUUCAAACUUAAAGUGAAUCGAAACGGGCUCAUUUUAUUAAAAAUUCAGAGUCACCACUUAGGAUAAUUUAUGGUGUCCCAAGUCACCGGUUUAGAAUCCCGAAUUGAGGAAAAGAUUGACUCUGUUUAACAGUCCGCGAACAUAAAAAUCCGGGUAAGGAAUUCUGUUAACCCGGGAGAAGGUGUUAGGCAUUCCCGAGUUCUGUGGUUCUAGCACGGUCGCUGAACUGUUAUAUUCAGCUUAAUUAUCUGAUUUUAAGCAAUUAUGAACCUAUGUGCAAAUUUUAGUUUUAACCUCUUUUAAUUAAUUUUUAAAGAAGAUUGAACGUCGUUUAAAACGUGUCUUUGGAUCGCGCCACAUGAAAUGCACCCGCAAUCCUAAACACAUUUUAGUUAAUGUUUUAAGAUUUUGAUUUGUGUCACAUGAAAUGCACACCCGAAUUUAGGAAGGUAAUGUUAUUUAACGACGUGCCUAAAGCAGCUACGCGUUUUUAACUUUGCGAGGGCCAUGGAAAUCGGUCCUUAUGGUCUUUUUUAUUUGUUUUUGUUCCAAAGAAGAGUCUAGAAGAGUCUAGAAGGGUCCCUAGGCUUAAUGGACUAAUCCGAAUUGUGCCAAGAAUUGGGCUCUAAAACUCUUAAAAUUGUGAUCCAACACCUUAAUUGACUCCUUUUAAAAUAAGAUAAAAAUACUGACACAAUCCAAAAGCUAACAUGAAACUAUUACGUAUUUUUGUAUUUUCAAGAUUAUGUUAAGAUAAAAAUAAGUUACUAUUUUUGUAUAUAUAUUUUUUAUUUAAAUUUAUGAAAGAUACAUAAGCUAAAAUAUUUUUUUGUAAUUUUCCAUUUUCAUGACGAAAAUAAAGUAAAGAAGUCAAAAAUAGUUGAAAUAGCUAUAUUAGGCCUAAAUUAAAUAUUUAUAUGCUAAAAUAUGAAAAAACUCGGGGAGGGUAAAAAAUCACAUGUCUACACAUACCUUUGUCGAAUUCUCACCAUGCACCACAUUAUCCACAUGACCAUAAUAACAUUCUCUGAUCAUAAUAACCAACAUUCCCCGAAUUUGAUGCUCACAAUGCACCUCAUGAUAUAUAUAAGUCUUGUUCCAACUCUCGCAAUACUGCCACGACAGAAGAGAUGUGUAGAAAUUUAUAACCAACUGCCAAGUCAACAAAUCAUUGUGUCUAUACUUCUGACAAGAACCAUUACCUCAUUCUGAACCAAAUAAUGAUCUUUGCUCUUUAAUAUACUUCAUAUAAUCCGACUGCACUGAUCCUAGAUCCAAUAAUCUCGUCUCACCCAUUACGAACUGCUCAGGCAAUAAGCCACCCCAGUCAUGAUCAAAAGUCCCAUAUGAUGCCGUAACGUGCCAAUAAGCUGCAAGCUCGAACGUGAUACAUAAAAAAAAUGAACUCAGGAAGGGACUACUCAACUCAUGGGGCUAAUAUGAAUUUCCUCAGAAAAUGGGAAAUAAAACACAUAAAAGCAGGUAUAGGGAACUGUACUCAGCAUCACACUGUUGCGGCGUGCAACCCGAUCCAAACAACAUGCCCAUGGUGGCAUGCCACCCGAUCCACACAUAAAAUUCACAUAAGGAGAUACACACCGAGCUAAAUUGCUGAUUACAACAAAAUACCGAAGAUCAAUCACAAGCACACUAAGUGCAUAAUACCAUCCCUGGGGAGACAUAUAACGUCAUAGGCUAACAAACUCAAGCACAACUGAGCUGCGAUAUAUGUUCUGAAACUAAAGAGCCAUCCUGCUCACAUAACACCAUCGCUACNNNNNNNNNNNNNNNNNNNNNNNNNCACAACUCACACGGCACAAUAUAAUAUUACAUGAAAUAGACUAUGACGAAAUAACAUCCCAUGUCUGAAUACUCCUUCAUAAGGAGCGCUAUGCUAAAAUGAAUACAUCCGGCCUGAUAUAGAGCCCAUAUUCAUACUUAAAUACAUUCACAGACCUUAAACCGAUUCUAAUCAUACCAAACUAGGUCUAUAAUCUUUCCUGGGUCCAUAAUAACCCCCCUUUUCCCAUAACACACAAGAACAACCAUCAUAACCAGAGUAAUCCUCCACAGUCCACAACCCAAUAAAUCGAGUGCCCUCCAGGCAUCAAUCUUGAUACUUGGUUUAAUUCUUCAAUCAAUCAAGUGACUACAUGCCAAACUUAUACAACCUUCCCGUGGGGCACGCUCCUACGACCUUCCAUAAUAGAUAACAAGUCUGUACAUCCAUACCACCGACCGCACUAACGCUGAAAAUAGAUUAAUAAUCUUUAACCAGGAUGUAAAGUGUGAUGACCCAAGAGGUCAUCACUUGUUUUUAAAAUGAAUUCUGCAUUCCAAGGCUUUAAAAACCUCUUUUAGCAUCACCUCGAUUUGCAUGCGCAGUCCGGGUGCGUAGCCAAAAAGCUUAUAUGUGAAAAUCUGUGAAAAAUGAUAAGUUUUGACUAUAAAAUGAAUUAAUUUGACUUUGGUCAACGUUUUGGGUAAACGUACCCGGACCCGUAAUUUGACGGUCCCGGAGGGUUUGUAGGAAAAUAUGGGAUCUGGGCGUACGCCCGGAAUCGAAUUCCGAAGUCCCAAGCCCGAGAAAUGAAUUUUCAAAGAAAAUUAUUUUCUGAAAUUGUUUAAAGGAUUUGGAAAUGAAUUUUGAUUAGAACAUGUUGGUAUCGGGUCUGUAUUUUAGUUCCGGCACAUGGUACAAGUCUUAUAUAUGAUUUAAGAUAAUUCUAUGAAGUUUGGUAAGAAACGGAUAUCAUUUGACGUGAUUCGGACCUUAAAUGCAAAAUUUGGUGUUUUAAGAAGUUUUGAAAUAUUUCAUUGAUUUUGAGGUUUAAUUCAUUAUUUAAGGGGUUAUUUUGGUAAUUUGAUCACACGGAUAAGUUUAUAUGAUGUUUUGAGUUAGUACGUAUGUUUGGUUUGGAGCCCCGAAGGCUCGGGUGAGUUUCGGAAGGUUUUUGAACUCAUAAAAGUUGCAGGUUUUUCAGUUCUGGUGUGCUGGUAUUUUCUUCUUCACGUUCGCGGGAGGACCCUCACGAACGUGAUGAGUUAUUCACGACGAAGGAAAUUUCUUUCUACGUGAUCGCAUGACCCAGGUCGUGAACACGAAGGCGUUUGGGGGGGGGGGGGGUCUUCCCUUCCCGAACGAGGGCCUGGUAACACGAACGCGAAGGUUUAUGAGGCUGGGCAGGAAGAGGGAUAUUAUACCCUAUGCGAACGCGAACUCCUAGCCGCGAACGCGAUGGCUCGAGGAGUUAAUGCUCCACGAACGCGAGUCCGUUUACGCGAAUGCGAAGGUCUCUCAGGCCUAGCUCAUUGUGAACGCGAUGAGCCUGUCGCGAACACGAAGACCAAAUUCGCCCAGUUAUUUUAAGUUCCAAAAAUAGAAUACAUUACGGGAUUUCCACCAUUUUUCAUAAACUUCAUCUUCUCCACACCUCUUUGGCAAUUUUUGAAGAGGAACUUCACCAUAGCUUCAUAGGUAUGUAAUCCUAAGCUCAUUUUCUUCCAUUUCUUAUCAACACCCACUAGAGUUCUAGGCCUAAAACAUGAGAUUAAGGGUAGAAAAUUAGGGUUUGCACGCCGUAAUAAUAUUAUAUGUAGAUCGGGUUGCACGCCGCAACAAUGUUAUAUUGGAUUGGGUUUCACACCGCAAUAAUAUUAUAUGUGGAUCGGGUUGCAUGCCGCAUCAAUGUUAUACUGGAUCGGGUUGCACACUGCAACAAUGUUAAGGGUGGAUCGGGUUGCACGCCGCAACAAUGAUAUAUGUGGAUCAGGUUGCACGCCGCAACAAUGACAAAUUAUAUGGAUCAGGGUGCAUGCCUCAACAACGUUGUUAUAUAUUGUGGUCGGGUUGCUAGCCGCAACAAUUAUUGAUACAAGUGUGCUUAGUUUGGAUAUUAGUUUCUUUUGUUUUGUUGUGGACUCUAAGCUGCCCUUAAACUGUUACUCUGGAUUUACUGUUAAUACUGGUAUACCCCCGCAACAUGUUUCCCCCUUCCAUCUUUACUUGCUUAUUCCUGCUUUACUUUUUGUUGUAUAUUAUAUAACUGCGCAGGUUUAUUUGGUAGUCUGGUCCUAGCCUUGUCACUACUUCGCCGAGGUUAGGCUAGGCACUUACCGGCAUAUGGGGUCAGUUGUGCUGAUACUACACUCUGCACUCUUUUGUGUAGACCCCAGUGUUGUAGACUUCGGACCGCAGUGAGAUUGCUGACUCUUGUUCAUCAGGUGAUCCGAGGUAGCCCUGCAGGCGUCCGUAGGCCUUGGCGUCUUCUUUCUAUCUACCUUCCUAUUUCUUACAUG